rnacentral:rRNA from 1 species
UACGUAGGGGGCAAGCGUUGUCCGGAAUCAUUGGGCGUAAAGAGCGUGUAGGCGGCUCGGUAAGUCCGCUGUGAAAGUCCAGGGCUCAACCCUGGAAUGCCGGUGGAAACUGUCGAGCUAGAGUCCGGAAGAGGCGAGUGGAAUUCCUGGUGUAGCGGUGAAAUGCGUAGAUAUCAGGAGGAACACCUGUGGCGAAAGCGGCGCACUGGACCACAACUGACGCUGAGGCGCGAAAGCUAGGGGAGCAAACAGG